rnacentral:rRNA from 1 species
UACGGGGGGGGCAAGCGUUGUUCGGAAUUACUGGGCGUAAAGGGUCUGUAGGUGGCCAACUAAGUCAUACGUGAAAUCCCUCAGCUUAACUGGGGAACUGCGUCUGAUACUGGUUGGCUUGAGUGCAGGAGAGGAACGCGGAAUUCCAGGUGUAGCGGUGAAAUGCGUAGAGAUGUGGAGGAACACCAGUGGCGAAGGCGGCUCUUUGGUCUGUAACUGACGCUGAGGCGCGAAAGCGUGGGGAGCAAACAGG